rnacentral:ncRNA from 2 species
GGAAGCCGGUGGGAUUCCGGCACAGUCGCGCUACUGUGACACCUCCUCCAGACAGGUCCCCCGGGACCGGUCGGGCGGUGGUGGAGUCAGAC